rnacentral:rRNA from 1 species
UAGCGAAAUUCCUUGUCGGGUAAGUUCCGACCCGCACGAAAGGCGUAAUGAUUUGAGCGCUGUCUCGACAAUGCACCCGGUGAAAUUGAAAUACCAGUGAAGAUGCUGGUUACCUGCGCCAGGACGGAAAGACCCCAUGGAGCUUUACUCCAGCUUGAUACUGGGAUUCGAUAUUGCAUGUACAGGAUAGGUGGGAGACUAGGAAGCGGUGACGCCAGUUGCCGCAGAGUCGCUGUUGGGAUACCACCCUUGCAGUAUUGGAUUUCUAACCAGCAGCCGUGAACCGGCUGGGGGACAAUGUCAGGUGGGGAGUUUGACUGGGGCGGUCGCCUCCGAAAGGGUAUCGGAGGCGCUCAAAGGUUCCCUCAGAAUGGUUGGAAACCAUUCGAAGAGUGCAAAGGCAGAAGGGAGCUUGACUGCGACACCGACGGGUGGAGCAGGUACGAAAGUAGGACUUAGUGAUCCGGUGGUAUUAAGUGGGAAUGCCAUCGCUCAACGGAUAAAAGCUACCCUGGGGAUAACAGGCUGAUCUCCCCCAAGCGUCCACAGCGACGGGGAGGUUUGGCACCUCGAUGUCGGCUCGUCACAUCCUGGGGCUGUAUUCGGUCCCAAGGGUUCGGCUGUUCGCCGAUUAAAGUGGCACGCGAGCUGGGUUCAGAACGUCGUGAGACAGUUCGGUCCCUAUCUGUUGCGGGCGUAAGAGAUUUGAAGGGAGCUGUCCUUAGUACGAGAGGACCGGGAUGGACGUACCUCUGGUGCACCAGUUGUCCUGCCAAGGGCAUAGCUGGGUAGCUAAGUACGGACGAGAUAAACGCUGAAGGCAUCUAAGCGUGAAACUCCCCCUAAGAUUAGAUCUCUCAUUCGAAAGAAGUAAGGCACGACGUAGACUAUGUCGUUGAUAGGCCGGAGGUGGAAGCACGGUAACGUGUGCAGCUGACCGAUACUAAUAAGCCGAGGGCUUGACCU